UAUGAGGCUUGAGCAUUAGGGUGUUGUGGUUGAUCAAUCUCUCCAAUAGCUGAGAGGCUGCUAUUGACUUUCUGUUCCCAGAGUCCAGAGGUGUAGUACUGCUCUGCGGUUGCAUUUCCUGUUUAACUGUUCACCACAGUUGCCGUGUCAUCUUCAGUCUUGGGGUCACUUGAUUCACCAUCUGAUUCUGUACCUCCAUUUUUCAACAGUCCUUCAUUAAACUGAGAGACUUUAUUCUUUAUCAAUUGUUCCAAAGGUUCUUUGCAUAUACUACAGCAGCCAUCACUUGAUAAACAGGACACAUGGAAUGUGUGGUAACAGGCAAGGCAAACAAAGUUACCACCAUAAUGAUUGUUGUUGCAGUCAGGAACACCCUAUCAGGCAAUACUCUGUUGUCAUCUUAUGUUAUUGACCUCAGUAGAAGAUCGAAAAGCCCAGAAGCAUUCUUCUCACUAAAGUCCCUCAUCACAGCUGGGUCAUAGAGUGGUACUUCUGGUCUGCUUUCAUAGUAUUUGAACAUAGCAGUCUGGCACUGAGUGACCAACUGGUCAAAGUGUUUUGUCAAGUUGACUGGCCAUGCUUUGUGAAGCACUCUCCUAAGAAAAUUCAUACCAAAACAUCACCAUGUCAUUUAUUAUGACAACUUUUAUAAUUAGAAAUUGAUUCUUAUAAUAAAUUAUUAUUUUAUGUUCAUGCACCUGUUUGCCAUCAGAUGAUUGAGUACUGGUUGGAGAAGAUGUAGAUGCUUGAGUGUUUCUCUGAAAAGUAAGGAGCAGAUACAUGAUAAAAUAUUUUGGUAUAGUUCUGGAACAAUUUUUUGUGAUAACAAAGUAGCAAUUAUGCAGUCUGGGUUUUUGGUGGGCCAAAUUGGCAA